AGGCGUGCGCGUCAGUAGCCAAUCGCAGUGUCCGGGCCGGGAACGGGCGCAGGGAGCCGAGACAGACCGAGUGACAGCGUCUGAGUCCCGGGAAGGACGUCACGGAGCUUCCGUGGAAAAGAACCCUGCAAACAUAGCCAAGAUGCCGAACAAAACCAAGAAGGAGAAGGAAACGACCAAAUCUGCCAAAAGCAACAUGAAGAACAGUAACAGCGGAGGGAAAGACGUUGCUGCGGAGAACGCCGACGAGUCCCAGCAGCAGCAGAGUGGCAGUAAGCGUCCCAGUAACAGCACGCCUCCUCCCACUCAGCUCAAUAAGAUCAAAUACUCUGGAGGUCCUCAGUUGGUGAAGAAGGAGCGCCGCCAGAGCUCGUCCCGCUUCAGCCUGACCAAGAACAGAGAGCUGCAGAAACUACCAGCGCUCAAAGAUGCCCCCCUCAUGGAGCGUGAGGAGUUGUUUGUCCAGAAGCUCCGUCAGUGCUGCGUGCUGUUUGACUUUGUCAGCGAUCCACUCAGCGACCUGAAGUACAAAGAGGUGAAGAGAGCCGGACUCAAUGAGAUGGUCGAGUACAUCACACACAACAGUGACGUGGUGACCGAGUCCAUCUACCCCGAGGCCGUCCUCAUGUUCUCAGUGAACUUGUUCCGGACUCUUCCUCCGUCCUCCAACCCGACUGGAGCCGAGUUUGAUCCUGAGGAGGACGAACCGACGCUGGAGGCUGCCUGGCCUCACCUGCAGCUGGUCUACGAGUUCUUUCUUCGCUUCCUCGAGUCUCCAGACUUCCAACCAAAUAUCGCCAAAAAAUACAUCGACCAAAAGUUUGUAAUGUCGCUUCUUGAGCUGUUUGACAGCGAGGACCCGAGGGAACGAGACUUCCUAAAGACCAUCCUGCACCGGAUCUACGGGAAGUUUCUCGGCCUUCGCGCUUACAUCCGCCGACAGAUCAACAAUAUCUUCUACAGAUUUAUCUACGAGACUGAACAUCACAACGGCAUUGCUGAGCUGCUGGAGAUCCUGGGGAGUAUCAUCAACGGCUUCGCUCUCCCUCUGAAAGAAGAACACAAAAUGUUUCUGAUCCGAGUUCUGCUGCCGCUUCACAAAGUCAAGAGUCUGAGUGUCUACCACCCCCAGCUGGCGUACUGUGUGGUCCAGUUCUUGGAGAAAGACAGCAGUCUGACAGAACCGGUCAUCAUGGGUCUGCUGAAGUUCUGGCCCAAGACUCACAGUCCGAAGGAGGUGAUGUUCCUGAACGAGCUGGAGGAGAUCCUGGACGUCAUCGAGCCGUCAGAGUUCGUAAAAGUCCAGGAGCCGCUCUUCAGACAGCUCGCCAAGUGUGUGUCCAGCCCGCACUUCCAGGUGGCUGAGCGCGCUCUGUAUUACUGGAACAAUGAGUACAUCAUGAGUCUGAUUAGCGACAACGCCACCAAGAUUCUCCCCAUCAUGUUUCCUGCCCUGUACAAGAACUCCAAGAGCCACUGGAACAAGUAACACACUCACAUCCUGUCCUUUCACAUUAAAGCAUGCCUGUAACAGGAAACAGUGGUUCUGUGUGUGUCUUUGACCCGGUUCUGCUGGUCCUCAGGACAAUCCAUGGUCUGAUUUACAACGCUCUGAAGCUCUUCAUGGAGAUGAACCAGAAGCUGUUUGAUGACUGCACGCAGCAGUACAAGGCAGAGAAACAAAAAGAGAAGUACAAGCUGAAGGGAGAGAGAGGAGGUUUGGCACAGAUAG